GGCGAUGUGGCCGAGUGGUCUAAGGCGCUGGAAUUAGGUGAUUUUCUUCACUUAUCCAGUCCGAAAGGGCGCGAGUUCGAACCUCGCCGUCGUCA